rnacentral:lncRNA from 1 species
CUAAAUAACCUGCUAGAUAGGAUGCCAUUAUUUUAAACAGUCAUCAUAUCAUACGAUCUAAAAGUAUUGAGAUUAGGCAUAAAUUAAGUUAAACGAGGUAUAUGAGCAAACUCAUAAUAAAUUGUCUGUUGGCCAUUGGAUACCGACAAAUUCAGAUGGAAAAGGGUAAGAAACCCAACAACAUGUGCUUGAAUUCAUCUUGUACAAAACCUACAUUUUUUUAGUGGGCACAAAGAACAGUAUCAGUAAACAAAACAAAUUCCAAAGACAGAGGAAUAAUUAGGGUAAGAUGAGAUGCAGGGAGGGAGAAUUGGACCGAAUUGGGGACGUGAGAAUCACCCAUCGUUGCUUGAUAAUGGUUUUUGGAAGUAGGGAGAAUGGGGAACGAGCAGCGGCACGUUUGGGAUUAUAUAGGCAUGUAUAAGUUGAAUGAAAAUUAAUCACCGAUUGUAACUGACUUACAAUAACCAGCAGUCCGCGAAUUGACCGGUAGUAAUGGCUGAUUAAACUCUCAACGAAUCAUCAUCGGAUUGGCAAUAGAACUUCAAAGGACGCAUGCAUUGCCGCCAGACAAUCCUGCCGCGCUGUGCAACCGAAAGGAUCGAGCGGACCCCCUGCCCCAUUGCCCGGCGAGGCGCUUUCCGAACCAGCGGGGUCGCCAUGGAUCCGUUGCUCUAGCCCGGCAUCGGUCGUCACCCAGGCCGGUCACAUCUGGAGAGAGCCGCCAGGCAAAGGGAUCGGAG